AACGCGAAGAACCUUACCUGGGCUCGAAAUGCUAUGGACCAGCUUAUGAAAGUAGGCCUUCCCGCAAGGGACCGUAGUAUAGGUGCUGCAUGGCUGUCGUCAGCUCGUGUUGUGAAAUGUUGGGUUAAGUCCCGCAACGAGCGCAACCCUUAUCCUUUGUUGCCAGCGAGUAAUGUCGGGAACUCAAAGGAGACUGCCGGUGAUAAACCGGAGGAAGGUGGGGAUGACGUCAAGUCAUCAUGGCCCUUACGAGUAGGGCUACACACGUGCUACAAUGGCAUAUACAAAGAGAAGCGAACUCGCGAGAGCAAGCGGACCUCAUAAAGUAUGUCGUAGUCCGGAUUGGAGUCUGCAACUCGACUCCAUGAAGUCGGAAUCGCUAGUAAUCGUAGAUCAAAAUGCUACGGUGAAUACGUUCCCGGGCCUUGUACACACCGCCCGU
rnacentral:rRNA from 1 species